rnacentral:rRNA from 1 species
UACGUAGGGGGCUAGCGUUGUCCGGAUUUAUUGGGCGUAAAGAGCGUGUAGGCGGCCAUGUAGGUCCGGUGUGAAAACUCGAGGCUCAACCUCGAGACGUCGGCGGAAACCAUCUGGCUAGAGUCCGGAAGAGGAGAGUGGAAUUCCUGGUGUAGCGGUGAGAUGCGCAGAUAUCAGGAAGAACACCCGUGGCGAAGGCGGCUCUCUGGGACGGUACUGACGCUGAGACGCGAAAGCGUGAGGAGCGAACAGG